GGGGACAUAGCUCAGCUGGGAGAGCAACAGACUGAAGUAGAGUUAGUAGGUGUACAAACUUCUGGAGGUCCCCGGUUCAAUCCCGGGUGUCCCCA